GUCAAAUAAAGCCUUUAUGACAUCAGGUCACCUAGUGAGGCUUGGACUCUUACAAGAGAAGAAUCCAAUCCUCUGGGUUGUGGCUGUCACAGCACACUCCUUGCAGGACUUCUCUGACCGCCUACUAACCCACGCUCCACCAUAGCACCAGGAAACAAGACCAUGGAUGCUCAGAAUAUGAACCUGCUCAUAGGAGGUCUGUGCCUAUGCGCUGGGUAAAGCAGGGACUCUAGAACAAGCAAGUAAUCUCAGCACUGUGGCUGGGAAGAGGGCGCUUAUAGACAUCCUCCGGCAUCCUUUGUACUCACGGCGUGAUGCUGCUGCUGAUGUGCUUUUGCUCCGUAACAGAUGAACCAGGGGCCGCUGGGUCAACAGACUACAAUUCCAGUGCUUUACUGAGAGUCAGGGAGGCCAGCAGGUCCAUCCUAAGAACGGGUUUGAUCCUCUCAUGCAAGACUGCAAAGGGCUUAUUUUUUGCCAUCUGUAAAAGGCUCUUGGUUGAGAGUUUGAUAACUGAGUCCUUUAAAGAGGCCGUCAAAAGUCACCAUUUGUAUUUGAAA